rnacentral:lncRNA from 1 species
GCUUGAAUGAGUAAGAGAUUGACCGACGAGAGCGACCACUCAGUCAUUUUUUGAGCUGUGUAGCUACCUGUAAUACCUCAGGCAUUCAUGCUGAAGUUCGAACUUUUUUCCUGAACGGCGGCUUUCUGACGCCCUCCCUGUUCAUCCCCUUGUGCGCUCUGAAGGAGACAGGCUUGAAGCACUACAUUUGGGAAACAUUUUUCCCACGCGUAGAUUCAUGGAGCAGCAAGCACUACAAAUGUGGUGAAAGAACUUCCUCCAGGUUAUGAUCGUUGUCUUACCCGGCACCCGGCGAAACAGCCCAGGAAGACGACCCGCGGCAUGUCGCAGGCAGGUUUUUGACUUGAAAAGGCAAGGGCACUGGAUGGUGAAAGAAUUUCCUCCAGGUUAUGAUCGUUGUCUUACCCGGCACCCGGCGAAACUGCCCAGGAAGACGACCCGCGGCAUGUCGCAGGCAGAUUUUUGACUUGAAAAGGCAAGGGCACUGGAUGGUAGUUCACAGUAAUCCAGCGAGGCGAAGAGGAGAGUGCCGACAGUGCGAAGAGUUGCCCAUUUUCAUGCUGCCUCCUGCUGGGUCACUGCACGACGUCAAGCGCGGCCGUCGGCCCGUCGAUUGCGGACUACGUCUUGCCGGACUGGCGGUGAGCGAUUUUGUUCCAUUUUUACUGUUGGCCUCGCAAGCUACGUGUACAGACAGAAAGGCUGUGCCAACUCCUAGUGCGAACAGGGGCAAGUUCCACCAUGCGGAGUUGAAAUGCUCGCGUGUUGUGAACGGCAGCUCCCACUCCAGAGCACGAUGUACUCGGUCACCGCGGCGUGAAAGCCCAGAGGUCAAAGAGCACUUUCAUGCUUUGCCUCAUUUUGUGCAGUGUUGGUAGCGCAUCGUGCGGAGUGUUCACAGGAACACUGUCUUGCCUAAGUGCUUUACCAGGACGACUCUCCUCUCUGGAUGCUAGAGAAAAAACCAUAGUCUUCGGAUUGCAGCACAUCCAAGCACCGAGUUCGAAUAGCUCGUGUGUCAUGCGUCCUAGGACCGACCUAGCACUGCCACCGGUGGCGGCAUUCCGCGGUCAAUGACGUGGCGUUGUUUUGAGUUUUUUGCCUUCCGUUUUCUACGAGAACUCAGAAUAAGUCGACGACGCUUUCUGUGUAGAAGGAUUAUACCUGAUCAGAGCAAUGCGCUGCAUCGGGUUCGUCACAAGCUUUUCUCGGUUCACCCCCGAUUGCGGUCGUUGUGACGGACACUAAAUCGGCGGCAUCCAUGUCGGCUGGUUUAAAAGCACUCAAUCCGAAGCCCAAAUAACUCUCCAUAAAGCCACGGUUGUGGCGAUCCAUCGGGUGAAAUGUGUGGUCGCGGUUAUUCUCUUACCCUUGCAUGAAGCCGAUGUCCGCAUUAUUAAGGACAAACGUUUUAUUUAUGAACCCGUUUCCACGAAUCUGCAUCUGCACAACUGAUCUUGAAUCCCGUGCAUCGGACCAGUCAGACGAAAAGAAGUAUCGGGCACCGUUGUAAUUUGCUUGUGUGCCCACUUCAUCCGGGCUAUCCGCCGUGUCUGACGCGAUAUAAAGCUCUGGCGGUCAGAUGAAGAACUCCUACGUGGAUAAUGUAAUUUUUUGAGUCAGACGUGGAGACCGAAGUCCAAGACUUGAUAAGUCCACAUCCUUAUCUCUGUUCGGAGAGGUUCGCCGACGGAAACCACAUUGUCGGCGCUGGCACUUUCGUCGCGAUCAGCUACCG